rnacentral:lncRNA from 1 species
UGGAAACAUGCCGUCCUGAUUUACUCAGCUCCGUCGUUAAGUGCUGGCAUUAUCACCAUCUGCUGAAUGUGGAAGUUGUUUAAAAAUGAGUCACCUGGCACCAAAAACCAUUUCUGCACAGAACCUCCACCCGACAACACAUCUCUUGGUAUCAACGCAAAGUCUCUCUCUGCUUACACCUAUUAAUAGCACCCGGAGCCAGGCUUCCACGGAAUACAGGGUGGGAAAUUUUGUUAUCAAGUACUCCAUAAAAAUGAUAAGCAGCUUUUAAAAUUGAUAUGAAAAAUAAGAGAAAAUCAGAGCACAGAAGAUUUUUAGACCAGAGCAUCAAAAUGCUCUGAUGCUGUCACGAUGGAUGCAUGUCAUUGUACAUUGAACAACGUGAAGAGUGAACCUAAGGUAACCUGCGGACUCUGGGCAAUUAUGUCGUCUCGGUGUGGGUUUAUCAGUUGUAACAAAUGUACCACUCUGGUGGGGGAUGUUGAUAAUGGG